GCCUCUGUGGCGGAAUUGGUAGACGCGGCGGAUUCAAAAUCCGUUUCUGGCGACAGAGUGCCGGUUCGAGUCCGGCCAGAGGCACCA
rnacentral:tRNA from 1 species